UCCUACGGGAGGCAGCAGUGGGGAAUAUUGCACAAUGGGCGCAAGCCUGAUGCAGCGACGCCGCGUGAGGGAUGGAGGCCUUCGGGUUGUAAACCUCUUUUGUUAGGGAGCAAGGCACUUUGUGUUGAGUGUACCUUUCGAAUAAGCACCGGCUAACUACGUGCCAGCAGCCGCGGUAAUACGUAGGGUGCAAGCGUUAUCCGGAAUUAUUGGGCGUAAAGGGCUCGUAGGCGGUUCGUCGCGUCCGGUGUGAAAGUCCAUCGCUUAACGGUGGAUCCGCGCCGGGUACGGGCGGGCUUGAGUGCGGUAGGGGAGACUGGAAUUCCCGGUGUAACGGUGGAAUGUGUAGAUAUNGGGAAGAACACCAAUGGCGAAGGCAGGUCUCUGGGCCGUUACUGACGCUGAGGAGCGAAAGCGUGGGGAGCGAACAGGAUUAGAUACCCUGGUAGUCCACGCCGUAAACGGUGGAUGCUGGAUGUGGGGCCCGUUCCACGGGUUCCGUGUCGGAGCUAACGCGUUAAGCAUCCCGCCUGGGGAGUACGGCCGCAAGGCUAAAACUCAAAGAAAUUGACGGGGGCCCGCACAAGCGGCGGAGCAUGCGGAUUAAUUCGAUGCAACGCGAAGAACCUUACCUGGGCUUGACAUGUUCCCGACGAUCCCAGAGAUGGGGUUUCCCUUCGGGGCGGGUUCACAGGUGGUGCAUGGUCGUCGUCAGCUCGUGUCGUGAGAUGUUGGGUUAAGUCCCGCAACGAGCGCAACCCUCGCCCCGUGUUGCCAGCGGAUUAUGCCGGGAACUCACGGGGGACCGCCGGGGUUAACUCGGAGGAAGGUGGGGAUGACGUCAGAUCAUCAUGCCCCUUACGUCCAGGGCUUCACGCAUGCUACAAUGGCCGGUACAACGGGAUGCGACAGUGCGAGCUGGAGCGGAUCCCUGAAAACCGGUCUCAGUUCGGAUCGCAGUCUGCAACUCGACUGCGUGAAGGCGGAGUCGCUAGUAAUCGCGAAUCAGCAACGUCGCGGUGAAUGCGUUCCCGGGCCUUGUACACACC
rnacentral:rRNA from 1 species